UCAACCCACAAGACAUGAUUGACGUCUAGCAACGUAUCAUGUCUACCCGGAAGAUGAGGAAUGUAUUGGACAAAUCCAAACAUACCCUUCAGUGGCAAGUUACUGUGCAAUUCAAUCCCUCAGUCAUACUACAUCCUGAAUAAGUGCAUGAGUAUGGAUCAAUAUCAAACUCAAUCACAUAUUCAUGUCUCUCUCAAUCUUUUAUAUGAUAAUUCAAACAAUGAAACAUUAGAAACUCUUUCUAAUAUUCAUUUUGCUUUGAUCAAAGGCUUUUUGAAUCAUCAUAAGAUUAGAGUAAGUAGGAUGUUACCUUCUUUUACUAGAAGUGACUGAUUCCUUGUUGACCUACUCACAACCUUCGUACAAAAUCCACCAUAU
rnacentral:lncRNA from 1 species